rnacentral:rRNA from 1 species
AGAGUUUGAUCCUGGCUCAAGAUGAACGCUGGCGGCGUGCUUAACACAUGCAAGUCGAGCGAAGCACUUUGUUUUGAAUCUUCUGAGGAAGAACAACCUGACUGAGCGGCGGACGGGUGACUAACGCGUGGGCAACCUGCCUCAUACUGGGGGAUAACAGUUACAAAUGACUGCUAUUACCGUAUAAGACCACGGUACUGGAUGGUACAGUGGUAAAGACUCCGGUGGUAUGAGAUGGGCCCGCCUCUGAUUAGCUAGUUGGUGAGGUAACGGCUCACCAAGGCAACUCAUCAGUAGCCGACCUGAGAGGGUGACCGGCCACAUUGGGACUGAAACACGGCCCACACUCCUACAGGAGGCAGCAGUGGGGAAUAUUGCCCAAUGGGGGAAACCCUGAUGCAGCAACGCCGCGUGAGCGAUGAAUUAUUUCGGUAUGUAAGGCUCUAUCAGCAGGGAACAAAAUGACGGUACCUGACUAAGACGCCCCGGCUAGCUACGUGCCACCACCCGCGGUAAUACGUAGGGGGCAGGCGUUAUC